rnacentral:rRNA from 1 species
AAAGUGCAAGUCGAGCGGUAGAGAGGUGCUUGCACCUCUUGAGAGCGGCGGACGGGUGAGUAAUGCCUAGGAAUCUGCCUGGUAGUGGGGGAUAACGUUCGGAAACGGACGCUAAUACCGCAUACGUCCUACGGGAGAAAGCAGGGGACCUUCGGGCCUUGCGCUAUCAGAUGAGCCUAGGUCGGAUUAGCUAGUUGGUGAGGUAAUGGCUCACCAAGGCGACGAUCCGUAACUGGUCUGAGAGGAUGAUCAGUCACACUGGAACUGAGACACGGUCCAGACUCCUACGGGAGGCAGCAGUGGGGAAUAUUGGACAAUGGGCGAAAGCCUGAUCCAGCCAUGCCGCGUGUGUGAAGAAGGUCUUCGGAUUGUAAAGCACUUUAAGUUGGGAGGAAGGGUACUUACCUAAUACGUGAGUAUUUUGACGUUACCGACAGAAUAAGCACCGGCUAACUCUGUGCCAGCAGCCGCGGUAAUACAGAGGGUGCAAGCGUUAAUCGGAAUUACUGGGCGUAAAGCGCGCGUAGGUGGUUCGUUAAGUUGGAUGUGAAAUCCCCGGGCUCAACCUGGGAACUGCAUCCAAAACUGGCGAGCUAGAGUAUGGUAGAGGGUGGUGGAAUUUCCUGUGUAGCGGUGAAAUGCGUAGAUAUAGGAAGGAACACCAGUGGCGAAGGCGACCACCUGGACUGAUACUGACACUGAGGUGCGAAAGCGUGGGGAGCAAAACAGGAUUAGAUACCCUGGUAGUCCACGCCGUAAACGAUGUCAACUAGCCGUUGGGAGCCUUGAGCUCUUAGUGGCGCAGCUAACGCAUUAAGUUGACCGCCCUGGGGAGUACGGCCCGCAAGGGUUAAAACUCAAAUGAAAUUGAAGGGGGGCCCGCACAAGCGGUGGAGCAUGUGGUUUAAUUUCAACCAACGCGAAAAACCUUACAGGCCUUGACAUCCAAUGAACUUUUCCAGAGAUGGAUUGGUGCCCUUCCGGGAACUUUG